rnacentral:rRNA from 1 species
GACGAACGCUGGCGGCGUGCCUAAUACAUGCAAGUAGAACGCACAGUUUAUACCGUAGCUUGCUACACCAUAAACUGUGAGUUGCGAACGGGUGAGUAACGCGUAGGUAACCUGCCUGGUAGCGGGGGAUAACUAUUGGAAACGAUAGCUAAUACCGCAUAAUAUUGAUUAUUGCAUGAUAAUUGAUUGAAAGAUGCUAUUGCAUCACUACCAGAUGGACCUGCGUUGUAUUAGCUAGUAGGUGAGGUAACGGCUCACCUAGGCGACGAUACAUAGCCGACCUGAGAGGGUGAUCGGCCACACUGGGACUGAGACACGGCCCAGACUCCUACGGGAGGCAGCAGUAGGGAAUCUUCGGCAAUGGACGAAAGUCUGACCGAGCAACGCCGCGUGAGUGAAGAAGGUUUUCGGAUCGUAAAGCUCUGUUGUAAGAGAAGAACGGGUGUGAGAGUGGAAAGUUCACACUGUGACCGUAUCUUACCAGAAAGGGACGGCUAACUACGUG